GGGGGCGUAAUGGUUUCGACGGGGAUCAAGGAGACUUGAGAAGCGAGCGGUGGACCCAGACCACCAUAAAACGGGGAAAAACAAUAACUGCGAACGAAGACAACUUUGUUCCGGUAGCCGCUUAAGGCUGCCCGUCGGACCUGUGCUUCCCGCGGCAUAGUCAUCCGGCGUCAUCAAGGCGGGGAACCAGCCUGCCCAAGCUUUGCAGCAGGUGGGAUCUUAUGAAGCUACCAAAACCAUGAGCCCGUUCGUGGGCGCCUGGCAGAGGGAACGGUAAAACGCGAACUGCGCUCGGAGAUGCUUGAGUUUUCGGGUUUUCGGACAGGGGUUCGACUCCCCUCGCCUCCAUCA
rnacentral:tmRNA from 1 species